AUGGGACAAUUUAAGUGCCACCCCUGUGUCAGGGACACCCCAAAGUGCCACCCCUGUGAAGGGACAGUCCCCAAAGUGCCACCUCUGUGGGACAAGGGACACUUUAGGUGCCACCCCUGUGACAGGGACACCCCAAAGUGCCACCCCCCCAGGACAGGGCCACUCCAAAUGUCCCCAAUGCUGUCCCCAAUGUCCCCGUCCCCCUCCCGGUACGAGGAUCCCCCCCCAGGAUUGGGAACAACUCAGGGAAAUCCCAAAAAUCCCAAAUUCCCAAAAAUUCCCAUUUCCCAAAAAUCCCCCAAAAAUUCCCCGUUCCCCCAAAAAAUCCCAAUCCCCAAAAAUCCCAAUCCCCAAAAAUCCCAAUCCCCAAAAAUCCCAUUCCCGAAGGAAUUUGGGCAGAAUUUGGGAUUUCUGGAGGGAAAUUUGGGACUUUUGGGGGGGAAAUUUGGGAUCCCCUCGCUGUGGUUGUGCAAUAAAGGUUCGGAAUUAAUUCUGGAAAUUUUGGAGAAUUUUGGGGAAUUUUGGGGAGGGAAAAUGAGGGUGGGAUUUCUGACCCCUGGGAAUUCCGGCUUCCCCCAAAAUCCCCAAAAAAAAAAUGCUGCAAAAUCCCAAACGAACUCCUGGACCCCAAAACUCUUGGGAUCCCAAAUUCCCAGAUCCCAAAUUCCCCAAUUUCCAAACUUUUUGAUCCCAAACUCCUGAACCCCAAAAUUCCUGGACACCAAAUUCCCCAAUCCCAAACUCCCCAAUCCCAAAUUCCCCAAUCCCAAAUCCCCAAUCCCAAAAUUCCUGGACCCCAAAUUCCUCAAUUCCCAAACUCUUUGAUCCCAAACUCCUGAAACCCAAAAUUCCCCAAUCCCAAAUCCCCAAUCCCAAACUCCUGGGAUCCCAAAUUCCCAAUCCCAAAUUCCCCAAUCCCAAUUCCCCAAUCCCAAACUCUUGGGAUCCCAAAUUCCCAGAUCCCAAAUCCCCGAUCCCAAAUUCCCCAAUCCCAAAUUCCCAAUCCCAAACUCCUGGGAUCCCAAAUUCCCAAUCCCAAAUCCCCAGUCCCAAUUCCCCAAUCCCAAAUCCGGGCCAUUUUGGGCCAUUUUGGGCCAUUCUGGGCUUUAUUGGGGGGCUCUGAGACCCCAAACCCGCCCCGACCCCACCAACCCAACCGGGGAGGGACACGAGGACGGGCUGGGGAAGGUUCUGGAGAACUUGAGAAGGUUCUGGAGGGCGUUUGGGAAAGUUGUGGAGAACACUGGGUGAUCCUGGAGGCCCCAGGAGGUUCCUGCAGGUCCCCGGGGUGUCCUGGAGAUCAUGGGAAGGUUCUGAAGAACAUUGGGUGAUCCUGGAGGCCAUGGGGAUGUUCUGAAGGCCAUGGGCAGGUUCUGGAGGCCAUGGGGAGGUUCUGAAGAAUGUUGAGUGAUCCUGAAGGCCAUGGGCAGGUUCUGGAGAACAUUGGGUGAUCCUGGAGGCCAUGGGGAGGUUUUGGAGGCCAUGGGCAGGUUCUGGAGAACGUUGGGUGAUCCUGGAGGCCAUGGGCAGGUUCUGGAGGCCAUGGGGAGGUUCUGGAGACCAUGGGUAGGUUCUGGAGAACGUUGGGUGAUCCUGGAGGCCAUGGGCAGGUUCUGGAGAACGUUGGGUGAUCCUGGAGGCCAUGGGCAGGUUUUGGAGGCCAUGGGGAGGUUCUGGAGACCAUGGGUAGGUUCUGAAGAAC
rnacentral:lncRNA from 1 species